CAGCUGCUCUGGAGGAUUCAGACAGGAUUAGUAAAAUACUUCUGAUCCAACCAUGACCAGGUGGGCUAGAGUUACUACUCUAAAUAGUAAGAGACCCUUGUCAGCAACAUCAUGGGAGGACAUGAAGAAGGAGUCUGAGGAGAGAGCAAACCAAACCCUUCCAAACUAUAAGCAAUGUCAAAGCAGUGGGCUGUCCCUUAGAAACGAUGCCCCUCAAGCAAAACCUAAAAGGAACAAAAAAAAGUGUACUUGAACGAAGUGAAUGGAUUCAUGGAGCACCUGAAACGGAGCUCCGGAUGCUUCACGAUGGACGGCUGAUAGCAGCCGACAGCCGGGAAGUAAGGGAAGAAAUUGCAGCGGCCUUAAAGGACAGUUGACGGGAAGGAAGGCAACCAAGUGACAGGCGGCAAAGAAGAGUGCAAUGGUAUGUUCCAUUGUCAACAACCCGGCCAUGGAGCUGCUGACUGCCCAGCUGGGCUAGAUAGUCAGGACACGGUGCCCUCAUUUACUACCGCUGCAGGUCCACGGAGCUAACGUAGACCCCGUGCUUGGUGAAUUUCACUUGUUCAGAUCCUGCCCUGAUAAUACGAAAGGAGUCUAUGCUGAUGGUGGUGACUGUAAACUCUGUGGCUCCAUGGAACCUUUUAAGAAAGAUUGCCCUGAGAAUCAGAAUUCAGAUCGGAUCAUCACAGUCGGUCGCUGAAUUGAGUGCAGACCACGGAGAUGUUCUGGAUGGGCCCAAGCCGCAGAAACCUAAAACCAAAGUACCCAAAGUUGUUUUUGAUAAGAAUUGGUACAGUUGUUCAUUACCACCUCAAGGUUACUCUCCAAAGUAG